rnacentral:rRNA from 1 species
GCCCCAGACUCCUACGGGAGGCAGCAGUGAGGAAUAUUGGUCAAUGGCCGCAGGGCUGAACCAGCCAAGUCGCGUGAGGGAUGACGGUCCUAUGGAUUGUAAACCUCUUUUGUCAGGGAGCAAAGGGCGCCACGUGUGGCGCUUUGCGAGUACCUGAAGAAAAAGCAUCGGCUAACUCCGUGCCAGCAGCCGCGGUAAUACGGAGGAUGCGAGCGUUAUCCGGAUUUAUUGGGUUUAAAGGGUGCGCAGGCGGAAUGUCAAGUCAGCGGUAAAAUUUCGGGGCUCAACCCCGUCGUGCCGUUGAAACUGGCGUUCUUGAGUGAGCGAGAAGUAUGCGGAAUGCGUGGUGUAGCGGUGAAAUGCAUAGAUAUCGCGCAGAACCCCGAUUGCGAAGGCAGCGUGCCGUGCCGCCACUGACGCUGAGGCACGAAAGCGCGGGGAUCGAACAGGAUUAGAUACCCGAGUA